GGAUUAGGCAUGCAAGUCGAACGGGGCUGAUUUCUUCGGAAUGAAAGCCUAGUGGCGAAAGGGUGAGGAAUACAUGGACCAUCUACCCUCGGGCCCGGGACAACAGCUGGAAACGGCUGCUAAUACCGGAUUGUCCGGCGACGGUAAAGAUGGGGACCUUCGGGCCUGUCACCUGAGGAGGAGUCCAUGUCCUAUCAGCUUGUUGGUGAGGUAACGGCUCACCAAGGCGAAGACGGGUAGCCGGUCUGAGAGGAUGUCCGGCCACACUGGAACUGAGACACUGUCCAGACUCCUACGGGAGGCUGCAGUCGAGAAUCUUCCGCAAUGGACGAAAGUCUGACGGAGCGACGCCGCGUGCGGGAUGAAGGCCUUCGGGUUGUAAACCGCUGUCACACGUUAAGAAAAAGCAUGGGCCAAUACCCCAUGCCUUGACAAAAGCGUGAGAGGAAGCCACGGCUAACUUCGUGCCAGCAGCCGCGGUAAGACGGAGGUGGCAAGCGUUGCUCGGAAUUACUGGGCAUAAAGAGCGCGUAGGUGGCUUGGUUAGCGGGUGAUGAAAUCCCAUGGCUCACCCAUGGAACUGUUACCCGAACUGCCAGGCUUGAGGGCGGGAGGGGAAAGUGGAAUUCCUGGUGUAGCGGUGAAAUGCGUAGAUAUCAGGAGGAACGCCGGUGGCGAAAGCGACUUUCUGGCCCGUACCUGACACUGAUGCGCGAAAGCUAGGGGAGCAAACAGGAUUAGAUACCCUGGUAGUCCUAGCUGUAAACGAUGGGCACUAAGUAGAGGGGUUUU
rnacentral:rRNA from 1 species